GAGGGUAUAACUCAGUGGUGGAGUUUGUGCUUAGCAUGCACAAGGUCCUGGGUUCAACCCACAGUACCUCCA
rfam:Camelus ferus unplaced genomic scaffold scaffold518, whole genome shotgun sequence.